rnacentral:rRNA from 1 species
GACGAGGGGUCCAAGCGUUGUUCGGAAUCAUUGGGCGUAAAGCGGGUGUAGGUGGCUCUGUAAGUCAGGCGUGAAAGCCCCGAGCUUAACUUGGGAAGUGCUUUUGAUACUGCAGAGCUUGAGUGUGGGAGAGGAUCGUGGAAUUCCUGGUGUAGUGGUGAAAUACGUAGAUAUCAGGAGGAACACCGGUGGCGAAGGCGGCAUCCUGGACCGAUAUUGACGCUGAUGCGCGAAAGCCAGGGGAGCAAACGGG